GGUAGCUGCUGCUAUGCUGGGAAAGGACCUCUAAGGUGGUAGCAGCUCUCUUUUCUGGGCUGGAAGCUAUUCUGAAGACUAAGACUCUCCAAGGACUAUUCCACAUAUAAGCGAUAUCAUAUGAUAUAAUGCCAUUUGCAGCAACAUGGAUGGACCUAGAGAUUGUCAUACUGAGUGAAACCUGAAAAAUGAGCACGUGUGGGCCAGACGGUGGUAGGGAAAAGAGUGUUCCAGGAGAUGGAACAGCACAUGCAAAGACUCUAAGAUAAGAACGACUAAGGCGGGCUUCCCUGGUGGUGCAGUGGCUAAGAAUCUACCUGCCAACACAGGGGUCACAGGUUCGAGCCCUGGUCCAGGAAGAUCCCACAUGCCAUGGAGCAACUAAGCCCGUGUGCCACAACUACUGAGCCUGCGCUCUAGAGCCCAUGAGCCACAGCUACUGAAGCCCAUGCACCACAACUACUGAAGCCCAUGCACCUACAACCCGUGCUCUGCAACAAGAGAAGCCACCUCAGUGUGAAGCCCGUGCACUGCAACAAAGAGAAGUCCCUGCUCACCGCAACUAGAGGAAAUCCCACAGGCAGCAACAAAGACCCAACACAGCCAAAAAUAAAUAA